AUUGAAUCCCACAUCGACAUUUCAUCUGAUCCUUGGUGAAAUUGAUCCAGUGGAUUUCUGUUCAUUUAUAUCACAAUAUGCUUUAGGACAGGAAGGCCACGCCUCUAGAAAACAUGCCAAAAGAUCGCUUUGGUGCAGAAUUCAACUUGCCGAGCAACUUACCGUUGGGAGAAUGAUUCAGCUCUUGCUCAGCUUCCUUUGAAAGUGUGGCUCAAGCAAAGAAGGAAGUCAGGGAGAGGCAUAAAAAAGAGUCGGCAAGGAUCAGCUGCAUUUAUCCAAGGAGCUCUAGGAAAAGAUGUGGUUCUUCCUCGCCCAGUGGAGAAUCAGAUUCACUGGCAGACUCCAGAUUCCUCCCAAAUCUUCACCUAUAAGAGGAAGAAGUGGACUGAAGCUGGAUUAAAACUUCGCAUAGAUAGGCCUUGGGGAAAAAAUGCGUCAACAGUCAAUGAAAAAUGUGAAUUUUGUUCGUGCACAUCCCUAAUUUAAAAGUAGAAGUCUGGGUCAUAAAACUAGACAGAAUGAAAGACUCUUCUUGAGAGCAGAAAUAUUGGGGUGGGAAAAUGCUAUCAGGUCAUGGGGCAUAUUUGUCUCCAUAGUUUAUUCGGGGUCGAAAUUUUAAAAAAUUGCAGCAUUAAGUCUUUUGAAUGGAGAUACUCAGUUGGACCGGGAAGAUACCAAAUUAAUAUUCCUGCCUGGACUUGGUCUGUUACGGGAUUGGACUUUGUUCAGAUCUGAGGUUGUUGCAAUGCAGUUGGCGCAUUAUGGUGUCAUAUUUUCCAACUGGCGUUGUCCUCAACUCAGUAGUUGCCAGUGUGUGCCAAAUUCU
rnacentral:lncRNA from 1 species